GGAAAUUUUAGGAUGGAUGCUAAUCGGGGGAGAUCGUUGGCCAUUGGUUCGGGUAGAUUUAUUUGGGCCUAGCCCAAGACCCAUAAAAUGAAGAAAGUGGGUCACGAAAGUUGCAGCCACUAAAGAAAAGAAUAAAAACUCUAACCCUACUUCAACACAAUCAGAUUUAGAAUUGUCGACCCCUUCAUCUUCAUCAAAUGUUCAGGUGUGCAUGGUUGACGGUGGCUGCGAGAUAUGGCCUCCGACGAACCUAACACAUCAUUCGUAUAUGGUAGAAGAAAUCGUGACCGUUGAUGACGACGCAUAACAUUCGGGUGUGGAAUGUAGAGAGACUAUUUGCGCUGGCAUACAUUCAUACUGGAGAAAAAGUAAGUUUAAUCACCAAAAUUUGUACCGAAUGUUAUUUUAAUUCGGGUUAUGAAAAUUGUUACUGUUUUUUCGAAUUCAUGCUUUAAUUAUGUUUUACCUUCUUUUUUCCAUAAUAUCCAUCCAUAUUUAACUAUAGGUAUUAUCCUCUUGGAUCCGUUUGCCUCUUAAUCAACCAUAUCUGAAUAACAAUUAAUGACCAGUAGAAGAACACACAAUAAAAAUCAAAGGCUCAAGCUCGAUUAUAUAUACGAUUGUGACGACUUAGAUGAUGAUGAUAGGAAACUCAAGUAGCCAAGUAACUUAUCAAGGAUAGACUUAGGUGAUGAAAUGGAAUAAGAAAAUAAGCUUUUGUGUUGGGGAAAUUUUUCUAUUGAAGAGGUAAGUAUGAAUGAUGAAUCAAUGUGUUGUUGGUUUUUGUCUUUAUGUUUGUCGGGUAUUGUCUUAUUGGUUGUCUUUUAUAAUUGGCUGUUGUGUUGUUGAUUGUCUUUCCGGUCCAUCCACAUUGCUGAGGAAUGUCUCUGCCGUUGGGGAAUCACGCAAGGAGCAAGUUAACAGAGAGGGCCAUCUCCAAAUUUGUUGAGGUAGCUCCUUCUUCCCUCCUCCCACUCUUCCUUGUGAAUCGGUUCGUUUUAAUAUAAUAACUGUAUUGUAUACAGUUAUUGUCAACAUUAUUAAUUUUUCCGUAUGAAAUUUCAUUUAAAAGUUUGUUGACAAAAAACAUAAUAAUCACUCAAAAUCUAGUUAAAUGUGAUUCAUUCUUGUUAAAAAUAAAACGUGAAAAUUAAGUCGAGAGAUCACAAAAUAAUAGUGUAUGUUUUUUUUUUGUGCUUUUGCUGUAGUUUGUUAGUAGUUAACUGAGUUCGUGUUGCCAGAUACAAUAGGUAGCUACAAGUACUUUUAUUCAAAAAUUUUGGAAAGGAAUUUCGAAACUGAUAUCGGUGGAGGUACCAUCCGGGGAUGGAUUUAACGUAAAAUGGAGCAAGAAAGAAGGUGGUAGUGUUUGAUUGAAUGAAGGUUGGUACAGAGUUGUAACGGUAUUGGGGUUAAAACUUGAGUAUUUUGUUGUUUUUGAGUAUAAUGGUGAAUCUAAAUUUUCAUGACCGUCACCACCAUGUGGGAAAUAAGUUUCCGAGUCAUAUGGGACUGACCAUUAUAGAAACUUCUCAAACUUGAAUAAUCAAUCUAUGAAGCACUCGAUGCAAAUCACCAUGAAUUUAAAUUUAGAUUCACCAUUAUACUUAAAAAUCACAAAAUACUCAUGCUUUAAUCCCAAGAGCUCCACAACUGUGUACCAAACUGCAUUCAACCAAACACUAUCAUCUUCUUCUUUGCUCCGUCUUACUUUUUUAUUCCAUCCUUGACUGGAACCUCCGCCGAUAUUAGCUUUGAUAGUCAUUUCCAGUAUUUGUUUAAAAAAUUGGUGGAAAAGAUUGAAGUCGACAACAAGCACUAAAUUAAAUAUUAACAAGCGACAGAGAAGAACGAUCUCAACAAGUAUUAGUUAAUAAUUUCUCAACAUAAGAUUUGUCGGGUUAAGGACGAGUAGGAAUGAGAAACAUUUAAAUGGAUUUGAGUGAUUACAUUGUUCUUUUCAAAGAAUUAUUUAAUACAAUUUUACACAGAAAGAAAAAGAAAAGUAUGUUUAUAGUUUGUUAACCCAAUUCAUGAGGAGGAGGAUGAGGAGAAGGGGAAGAAAGCAAGAAUCUGCAAAAUUGUUAAAUGUAAAUUUUGUUGUGAUAGUUGAAACUAUUGGAUUGGUUAUGGUUGCACUCCCGUAGGGUUUAUGCAAGUAACUAAAUCGAUCAUCACUUGUUGCUUCACUUGUCCUUAUUGUAUCCCUUCCCGACAAUCAUGGUCUGCACUUCAUGUGGUUUUUGUUCGAGUUUUAUGGGCUAGUGAAAUUGCAUUUAUUCAGUAUUUUCUGUUUGAUA